UCGCGGCUUAUCACCGGCAGUCCCCUUAGAGUGCCCAACUAAAUGAUGGCAACUAAGGGCGAGGGUUGCGCUCGUUGCGGGACUUAACCCAACAUCUCACGACACGAGCUGACGACAGCCAUGCAGCACCUGUGUUCCGGCCAGCCGAACUGAAGGGCCCCAUCUCUGGAGUCCAUACCGGACAUGUCAAAAGCUGGUAAGGUUCUUCGCGUUGCCUCGAAUUAAACCACAUGCUCCACCGCUUGUGCAGGCCCCCGUCAAUUUCUUUGAGUUUUAACCUCGCGGCCGUACUCCCCAGGCGGAUGACUUAACGCGUUAGCUGCGCCACCGAAACCCUAAGGGCCCCGACAGCUAGUCAUCAUCGUUUACGGCGUGGACUAC
rnacentral:misc_RNA from 1 species